GAUGAACGCUAGCGGCAGGCUUAAUACAUGCAAGUCGUGGGGCAGCAUGAGUAGCAAUACUUGAUGGCGACCGGCAAACGGGUGCGGAACACGUACACAACCUUCCGAUAAGUGGGGAAUAGCCCAGAGAAAUUUGGAUUAAUACCCCGUAACAUAUAGAGUAGGCAUCUUCUUUAUAUUAUAGCUUCGGCGCUUAUUGAUGGGUGUGCGUCUGAUUAGGUAGUUGGCGGGGUAACGGCCCACCAAGCCUACGAUCAGUAGCUGAUGUGAGAGCAUGAUCAGCCACACGGGCACUGAGAGACGGGCCCGACUCCUACGGGAGGCAGCAGUAAGGAGUAUUGGACAAUGGGCGAAAGCCUGAUCCAGCCAUGCCGCGUGAAGGAUUAAGGUCCUCUGGAUUGUAAACUUCUUUUAUUUGGGACGAAAAAAGGGAAUUCUUUCCCACUUGACGGUACCAAGUGAAUAAGCACCGGCUAACUCCGUGCCAGCAGCCGCCGUAA
rnacentral:rRNA from 1 species